rnacentral:rRNA from 1 species
UAAGGAAUAUUGGACAAUGGAGGCAACUCUGAUCCAGCCAUGCCGCGCGAAGGAAUAAGGCCCUAUGGGUUGUAAACUUCUUUUAGACGGGACAAAACCCCUUUACGUGUAAAGGGUUGAUGGUACUGUCAGAAUAAGCAUCGGCUAACUUUGUGCCAGCAGCCGCGGUAAUACGAAGGAUGCAAGCGUUAUCCGGAAUUAUUGGGUUUAAAGGGUGCGUAGACGGACUAAUAAGUCAUUGGUGAAAGCCUGCAGCUUAACUGCAUAAUUGCCAUUGCUACUGUUAGUCUUGAGUACAGUUGAGGUAGGCAGAAUGUGUCAUGUAGCGGUGAAAUGCUUAGAUAUGACACAGAACACCGAUUGCGAAGGCAGCUUGCUAAGCUGUAACUGACGCUG